ensembl:snRNA U6 U6 spliceosomal RNA
AUGCUCAGUUAGACGGCGUGGGUAGUAAAAUGGAGGUAGUACAGAGGAGAUUAGCAUGGCCAUCCAUGAUGAUGGUAUGCACAUUUGUGAGGUGCUCCAUAUUUCU